rnacentral:misc_RNA from 1 species
GGAAUCUUCCGCAAUGGGCGAAUGCCUGACGGAGCAACGCCGCGUGAGUGAUGAAGGUUUUCGGAUCGUAAAGCUCUGUUGCCAGGGAAGAACGUCUUGUAGAGUAACUGCUACAAGAGUGACGGUACCUGAGAAGAAAGCCCCGGCUAACUACGUGCCAGCAGCCGCGGUAAUACGUAGGGGGCAAGCGUUGUCCGGAAUUAUUGGGCGUAAAGCGCGCGCAGGCGGCUCUUUAAGUCUGGUGUUUAAUCCCGAGGCUCAACUUCGGGUCGCACUGGAAACUGGAGAGCGUGAGUGCAGAAGAGGAGAGUGGAAUUCCACGUGUAGCGGUGAAAUGCGUAGAGAUGUGGAGGAACACCAGUGGCGAAGGCGACUCUCUGGGCUGUAACUGACGCUGAGGCGCGAAAGCGUGGGGAGCAAACAGGA